rnacentral:lncRNA from 1 species
AAAGUGUGAAAAACUCAUCUCAACACGUAACUGCUUGUGAAGGGUUGGAAGGUGAGGCAUCAUUGAUUGAAACCUUCAUCCAACCUCAACGACUUCAUCAUAUCUAACAACAUUAUCCUUCUACUCCUAGCCAAGGAGGACCAUCUCGAAAACGGAUAUACUAGUGCAUUGAUCUUGCAAAUCAUAUUGACCCAAAAAAAACAACAAAAAAUUAAAUUCAUGUAUUAAAUUUAGAUAUAAGUUUUUAAAAAUAAAUAAAUAAAUAAAAUUUUGG